CCUACGGGAGGCAGCAGUGAGGAAUAUUGGUCAAUGGGCGUAAGCCUGAACCAGCCAAGUCGCGUGAGGGAUGAAGGUUCUAUGGAUCGUAAACCUCUUUUAUAAGGGAAUAAAGUGUGGGACGUGUCCUAUUUUGUAUGUAACUUAUGAAUAAGGAUCGGCUAACUCCGUGCCAGCAGCCGCGGUAAUACGGAGGAUCCGAGCGUUAUCCGGAUUUAUAGGGUUUAAAGGGUGCGUAGGCGGCCUUUUAUGUCAGCGGUGAAAGUCUGUGGCUCAACCAUAGAAUUGCCGUUGAAACUGGGGGGCUAGAGUAUGUUUGAGGCAGGCGGAAUGCGUGGUGUAGCGGUGAAAUGCUUAGAUAUCACGCAGAACCCCGAUUGCGAAGGCAGCCUGCCAAGCCAUGACUGACGCUGAUGCACGAAGGCGUGGGGAUCGAACAGGAUUAGAUACCCGUGUAGUC
rnacentral:rRNA from 1 species